GGAAGUUUUAUUAUGAAAGUUUAUAUGUUUGUGCAGCACCUGGCAUGACAAGACACCAAUCUUGCAGGCUGCUUUAGAGGAAAGCACAAGAGAGCCCAAGUAGGAGAGUAAUGAAAUAAACCUUCCUUAGAAAAGAUUUCUUCCCAUCUCUCACUCGUACUCUGAAUCAGCAAUGUCUACAACCCUUCUCAUUUUGCAGUGGGGACUGAGUUUAAAACCUUGCUGGGGUAACUCUAGAUGUUCCAUAGAAAUAUCCCAUUCUGCUAACACCUUGGCCUCUAUGCUAUCAUGUGGUGCUACAUUCCAUAGGAUAAGUGUGUGACAUGGAUUUCUUUUAACCCACAGAAACACCAGUGAACACCCAUUAGUCUCAGAUUAAGAGACAGGGUGAAUAGAAAAUCCACAACGACCACCUUUCUGGUCAUUAUUUCACUUACCCAAAUGUCUCCUGAAACAUUUAUCACAGGGAAGACUUUGGAAGAAGGGAACAUUGCUCCUUUGCCAUCUUACAGCUGUUGAAACAUUUUGGGCAUGUCAUUAAGGCAUAUUGGCCACAACCUGUCAUAGCAGGUGUCACCAGGUGGUGCCAAUACAAAGACAUUCCAGUUCUUUUGCACUGUUCAGCUGUACAGUUGUUAAAUUUACUAUGUUCAUUCUUUCUGGGGAAGUAAGGAGUUGUUGCAGGUGUGUUUUUUUUCCUGCCUUAUUUGUCUAACUAGAGUCAGUUUCUGAGGCAGAAUUGCUGCCCUCAAUGUCUGGCUGGGAUUCCUGGAAGAGAUGGUUGCUCAUGGGCUGUUUGCGACCACCACCGCUGCGCCUUGACUGAGAAGCUUGCACCCAUGUCCCUUCCCAGCACCAUGGGGAGAACAGCUGCCUCAUACAAAUGCUGUGUUCUGGCCUCAGUGCUGGCGCUGAAGGAGCUGGCGCCCAGGCUGGCUGCCCCCACCCACCGCCCUGCACACCACAUGUGUUCCCUCCCUGGGUUCCUGGAGAGAUACACAGAAGCAAG